AUGAACGCUAGCUACAGGCUUAACACAUGCAAGUCGAGGGGCAGCAUUUUAGUUUGCUUGCAAACUGAAGAUGGCGACCGGCGCACGGGUGAGUAACACGUAUCCAACCUGCCGAUAACUCCGGAAUAGCCUUUCGAAAGAAAGAUUAAUACCGGAUAGUAUACGAAUAUCGCAUGAUAUUUUUAUUAAAGAAUUUCGGUUAUCGAUGGGGAUGCGUUCCAUUAGUUUGUUGGCGGGGUAACGGCCCACCAAGACUACGAUGGAUAGGGGUUCUGAGAGGAAGGUCCCCCACAUUGGAACUGAGACACGGUCCAAACUCCUACGGGAGGCAGCAGUGAGGAAUAUUGGUCAAUGGGCGAGAGCCUGAACCAGCCAAGUAGCGUGAAGGAUGAAGGCUCUAUGGGUCGUAAACUUCUUUUAUAUGGGAAUAAAGUUUUCCACGUGUGGAAUUUUGUAUGUACCAUAUGAAUAAGGAUCGGCUAACUCCGUGCCAGCAGCCGCGGUAAUACGGAGGAUCCGAGCGUUAUCCGGAUUUAUUGGGUUUAAAGGGAGCGUAGGUGGAUUGUUAAGUCAGUUGUGAAAGUUUGCGGCUCAACCGUAAAAUUGCAGUUGAAACUGGCAGUCUUGAGUACAGUAGAGGUGGGCGGAAUUCGUGGUGUAGCGGUGAAAUGCUUAGAUAUCACGAAGAACUCCGAUUGCGAAGGCAGCUCACUAGACUGUCACUGACACUGAUGCUCGAAAGUGUGGGUAUCAAACAGGAUUAGAUACCCUGGUAGUCCACACAGUAAACGAUGAAUACUCGCUGUUUGCGAUAUACAGUAAGCGGCCAAGCGAAAGCAUUAAGUAUUCCACCUGGGGAGUACGCCGGCAACGGUGAAACUCAAAGGAAUUGACGGGGGCCCGCACAAGCGGAGGAACAUGUGGUUUAAUUCGAUGAUACGCGAGGAACCUUACCCGGGCUUAAAUUGCAACAGAAUAUAUUGGAAACAGUAUAGCCGUAAGGCUGUUGUGAAGGUGCUGCAUGGUUGUCGUCAGCUCGUGCCGUGAGGUGUCGGCUUAAGUGCCAUAACGAGCGCAACCCUUAUCUUUAGUUACUAACAGGUCAUGCUGAGGACUCUAGAGAGACUGCCGUCGUAAGAUGUGAGGAAGGUGGGGAUGACGUCAAAUCAGCACGGCCCUUACGUCCGGGGCUACACACGUGUUACAAUGGGGGGUACAGAAGGCGGCUACCUGGUGACAGGAUGCUAAUCCCAAAAACCUCUCUCAGUUCGGAUCGAAGUCUGCAACCCGACUUCGUGAAGCUGGAUUCGCUAGUAAUCGCGCAUCAGCCAUGGCGCGGUGAAUACGUUCCCGGGCCUUGUACACACCGCCCGUCAAGCCAUGAAAGCCGGGGGUACCUGAAGUACGUAACCGCAAGGAGCGUCCUAGGGUAAAACUGGUAAUUGGGGCU
rnacentral:rRNA from 1 species